rnacentral:rRNA from 1 species
GACGAACGCUGGCGGCGUGCUUAACACAUGCAAGUCGAACGAAGUGGCGAACGGGUGAGUAACGCGUAAUCAACCUGCCCUUCAGAGGGGGACAACAGUUGGAAACGACUGCUAAUACCGCAUACUGAAGGAGGGGAUUGCGUCUGAUGAGCUAGUUGGAGGGGUAACGGCCCACCGAGGCGAUGAUCAGUAGCGUGUAUGGGGGGAAGAACGGCCAAAAUGGGAAUGAAGCCCGGCCCAGACUACUACGGGAGGAAGCAGUGGGGAAUCAUCCGCAAUGGACGAAAGUCUGACGGAGCAACGCCGCGUGGGUGAUGACGGCCUUCGGGUUGUAAAGCUCUGUUAAGCGGGACGCGGUACCGGAAUAGAAAGCCACGGCUAACUACGUGCCAGCAGCCGCGGUAAUUC